rnacentral:miRNA from 1 species
CUAUUAGGUUGUUGCAAAGGGAAUUGCGGUUUUUGCCAUUACUUUUAAUUUGCCAUCACUUUUAAUGGCAAAAAACGCAAUUCCUUUUGCAACAGCCUAAUA